rnacentral:rRNA from 1 species
AGGGGCAGCACUUCUUCGGAUGGUGGCGACCGGCGCACGGGUGCGUAACGCGUAUAGAACUUACCUUUUACAGAGGGAUAGCCUUUAGAAAUGAAGAUUAAUACCUCAUAGCAUUGAGAUUUGGCAUCAAAUUUUAAUUAAAGAUUUAUCGGUAAAAGAUGGCUAUGCGUCCUAUUAGCUAGAUGGUGAGGUGACGGCUCACCAUGGCAACGAUAGGUAGGGGUCCUGAGAGGGAGAUCCCCCACACUGGUACUGAGACACGGACCAGACUCC